UGCCCAGCAACUCCUAUCCCUACCUUCUCGUGGUACUGGCCGGGGUACGAGUAACCUUGAGGAAGAUCGGGAAGG
rnacentral:ribozyme from 1 species